rnacentral:lncRNA from 1 species
ACACCCCUAACCAAACAGCGCCCCCUGUCUCCAAGCCUUCUGUCGCGCCCUAGCCAUGCCAAACCCGCCGGAAAUCCCCCCCAAAUCACAUGGUCCCCUCCUCUCUCUUCCCCCUGCCACGUGGCCUGACAGGUAACAGAUUUCGUAAAAUUGAAUCUUCCUCAUUCUCCCUCAUGCGCUCAUCUCACCUGAAAAUCAAUUUGAAGAUGAGAUUAGGAUGAAUGGGAGGCAUAGGAUUGAGCCUCACUCAAUCUACUCCCUCCAUUUGUCCUUUACUUGUGACUAAAGAUGGAUUUUCGGAUUUUUUAGAAAGAGGAAAAAUUUUCACGACUUGGAGGGGAAGUCUAGAAGUUUCUGGAGCUUAUAUAUAUUGGGGGUUCGUUUCUUUAGGGGUGGGCGAUUGGAAAAAUUUAGGAAUUCUUCAGUUUUUUUUGGACAAAAAUUUUGAGAAAAAAAAAUCGGACAGAAAGGAGAAAAAGAAAAGUUCUAGGGUUUUUGAUUUUUUAUUUUUCUGAAUUUUGGUUUUAGUUUUCCAUAUAUACAAGAAAAAUCAGUUUCUUCUUCUGGAUUUUUGUUCAAAAUGGAGUAAAGACAAUUGGGUGUUCGAAAUUUUUGGAGUCACCGUUUGUGGUUCUGGUCGUGGCUUGUUGUCUCUGUUUGAAGAUCUUGUUGAAUUCCUCUAUUCUGGACUCACUCAGUUUUGCUCGAUUUAGUGCUGUAAUUGCUGAAUUUUGUUCAUUGGAAAGCUAAUCUCAGGUUAUUCUUAAUCUCACUGCUUUAUUUUGGUAUGAUUGGAGUUUGAUUGAUUUCGAAAUGUGCCGGAUUCUCUAUUUUUAUGUUGUUACUCUUUUAACUUUUUAUUAGUUGGUUGUUGUAUGUAUGAUUGAGGAAUACGUAUUAGAGUGUGAGUUAGUUUAAUGGAGCUAAAAGUAUAUGUGUUCCCUUUCUUUUGACUUCAAUCAUGGAGUGUAUGUGAGAGGGAUUCAAUAGCUUGCUGCUAAAGAAAUCUAUUCACUGCUUUGGUAAUUUAUCUCACCACUGUUUAGAACCAUGACUUAGUAAUUUUGACAUUAUCCUUGUAUAGUUGGAGUACUUUAUUAAGGUGAAAUAAUAUGUUCUUAAUAUUUCAAUAAUAACGUCUGGAAGCAUGAGUAAGUCUUUAAAUGAAAUGAAAGUUUUUCUUUGUUUAAUUCAAGUUUUCAUGUCAGGUCCUUGUUAGUCUAUCGAGAUUUGAGAGUCUAUGUUUAAGGCGUCUGUCUAUUAUAUCUAUAUGUUAGUUUUAUUGAAUUUUUUAGAGCUCAUGAAAGCAUGUUUCAAUCUCUGCUGAAGGCUACAUUUGAUUUCAAAAUUUUCCUUGAAUAUUAAGAAGAUUACUGCAAUUUUGUUAAAAUUGUUUGGUGUACUUUGGAAUGUCUACAUUGAGCUAUGUGGUGGUUGGUUUAAGAUGAGUGAGCCUGCUAAAUCAUGUGUUUAGUGUUCAUGCUUAGUUUUGGGAUUUAAUAUGGUGAAAAGUGGAUGUUCCGACAGCUCAGAUUCACAUUUAUUUUUACUAGUUUUCCAGAUUUUUUUCAAAUUCUUGUUUCUUGAGUUGCUUUGAAUGCUUAUCUGUGGAAUACUUUAUUUUAGUGAUUGGAUUUGCUAUAUUUGAAUUGUUUUGGAUGAUCAUUGAUGCUGUGGGACGGGGAAAGGUCGGAGCCCAUUAGCAAAUAAUUUGUUUCCAUGCUUUAGGCAUUGGGUUCCGCCUAAUAAAAGUGAAAAGAUAAAAAUAAAACAUGAGUAUGAAUCUUUCUUUCUUUAUUUAGUUUUUUUUUAUUUUCUUUAUGUAUCGUAUUAUUCACUAGUAGCAUGCCUAGGCCAUUAUCAUUUGGGUAGGCAAAUCUUUAGGACGUUCAUGCUUUAAUUCCUUUUAGGAGAGAGGUUGUCCCUUUAGUCGAUUAUAUUAUUCGGGGAAUGCCCCGAAGUACUUUGUAAAUAUUUUGGAGGCCGUGACGAGUUUGUGAAGGAAGCAUAGUGUAGUAUUUUAUUUCUAUUUUUUAUUUUUAUUUUAUUUUCCUUUUUAUUUUUAUUUUCCUUUUAUUUGUCUUUUAUUUAGGUAGGGACAACCUCGAACCUUUUUGCGUUUGUUUUCUUUUUGUGUGUUUUUACCUCAAUUCGAAUAUUUUGGAAAACAACUUGAUUAUGUACGCAACCGUACUAGUUACGGGACUCGGGGAAUGCCUAACACCUUCUCCCCGAGUUAAAUGAACCCCCUUACGUAGAAUCUCUGGUGCAAACUUAAUUUUGGAAUCUAAAGUAUUUUAAAAGAGAAUUAUUUUUAAACGGUGACCUGAUACACUGAAAUCAAAUGUCAGGUCGCGACUCUGAAAUAUCUUUUAAAACACAAUUUUGUCACUUUCAAUUUUAAAAACCCUUUUGAGCUUUUUAAGUCUUUUAUUAUUUUAAAGGGAAUUAAGAAGUAAAAAAAAAGGGGUGUGACAAUCAUGACCAUAAUUUUUGGCGUUUAUAACAUUCCCACUACUCCUUAUUUUUACUCUUUGCUUUUACAACUUCCUCUUCUUCUCCAACUUAUCUUAGAACCCUACUUGCAAACUUCAACUUUCUCAAUAAAUUUCUCCUUCACAAAUUUCUUACCGUCAUGUCUGCUAACACUACUGCCUUUGAAAACUCUAGUCUUCUCUUUGAUAGAGGCCCAAAAAAGAACAAACCAAAUGAGACAGAUGUUGAGUCGGAACCUCCUAGCGUAAACAACAUCAUACCUCUUCAUCUUAGCACGAAAUCUGACCUUCAAGAACAAAAAAGAACCUGCAAAUCCCAAAAGUGACAGGCACUGGUCUGUUCGUAGGUAUCCUUCCUCCAUUCGUCCUCCUAGCAUCCCUAUCGUGAAUGAGGAAUAUAAUUAGAACAACAUCGAAAUCUUCACCUCUAAUGAGGUAGAAAGGGUCACCUUCUCCAAACCAGGGUUCAUGUAUGAUUAUACAUACCCUUUCACUUUGGGCCCUUUCAUUUUAAGAGUGGGUGAAGGAGUCGACCCAGUAAUCUUAGAAUUUUGCCACCGAUACCAACUCUGCUUGGCACAAUUAGGCCCAUACAUAUGGCAUAUGGUGGCUUGCCUCCACCAAUUAUACUCUGAGAUCAGGGAAACUCUAACUCUUGCACAUGUGAUGAACUUUUACUCCUUUAAGAUUUUUUGCGAGAGUAUGCUAAAAUUCAGCAAACGGGGUCAUCAUGCCCUUCUCACCAGCGUCGAUGAUGAUAACGAUCGUGGAUAGAUGAAACAUUUUAUUUUCAUUACUGCCAGGGACAUCCUCCCGACCACAACGUUUGCUGUUCUUGAAUCAUGGAACCUUUUUCGUAAGUCUUAGAGUAUUUCUUUUCUUUCCAUGUUUUCAAAAACACCUUCCAUUGUUACUAACUUUAUACAUUCCUUAUUCCAGCUACUCAUUGGAAAUUACCAUGGUUUAAGAUCUGGCCCAAUGGGUACAGAAAAUUCUAGAUAUCACUACACCAGAAUCCCGAAGGUAAAAAAAAUAUCUUGCAAAUAUGGAUAGAAAGCCAAAACUAUGAUAAACAAAAAUUCUUCCUUCUUUCAAUCUUACAAAAUAACAUAGAAAUAGUUUAGUAAUUGUUUUUUUGUACCACACAAGACUUUCAAAGGGAUCUGUUGUUUGUCCUGACAUCGAGGCUCUUAAGCACUCGAUGGAAGCUGAAUGGGUACUGUAGGGUGCCCUUAACUGGAGGAGAGCUCGCGAAUCUACUCGGACUUCUGGUGAAGGUACCACCUCCCAGAGUCCCCAUCUCAAAAACAAGAAACCAAAGAGGAAGUGUACCUCCUCGACUGGGACUCAAGAGAAAAGAGUGAAAGAAAUACCAACCGGACCGACCACAAUUGUCCUUGAUGAAGAAGAAAUCAAUGAUGAAGCGACUCCUCUUUAAAGAAGAAAAGAUAUUUAUCAGCUCAACUAGAUGCUCAAUCAGAAGAGCUUCAAACUCCACCACCGGAAGAAGUUCAAGAACUCUGGGGGCAAAUGGAAAUAGCCGAAAAUGCUUAAUCUCGCUUUCAAAGUCCCACAGUUAUUUCUGAUCAAAGGAGUUCAAUCCAUGACCUCCUUCAACUGCCAAAUUCUGAGCUGAUAACAACUACCUCUCCACCUACACCAACUUCUUCUUCUCCACCGGCCCAUCUGAAUAAAUAGAAAAUGCCCCUUCUCUAUGGUCAUCCGACAAUGAAAAUUUGGAAAAAUACUUACUCGGCACCCACUCAAUACCCUCAUAGAAAACGAAGCGCCAUCCUUUCGAUUUCGAAUGAGUGCCAUAUACUUUUCAAGUCGGUGGAGCUUGCCAAUUAUCUGAAGCUGCUGGCCUUAGAAAAAAGAUUAGAGAAAAAUGGACUCUCUUUCUACGGAGUGUUUGAUAAACAAUAGUAUGCACUGUUCGACGCAUGUAUCAAUCUAAGUUUCUUUUAUCUCCUUCCAACUUAUACUUUUCACUAAUAACCUUAGAUUUAACCCUUUUUAGGCUAACCUUUUUGCUUCCAAGGGCAUGCAAAGGUUGAUUCUGGACAAACAAGAGCAUACUUCGGAACGAGAUCAACUUCUAGCCGAACGAAAUCAGCUUGCUGAGCGCCUCCCAGUGUUGGAGGAAAAAAUUUCUCAAAUAGAUGAUCUCGAGGCUCGGUUGUAGCAAUUCGAAUGGCUCACAGCCAGGAAGCUUCCCAGCUACGUGAAAACCUUAAGGAAGCAAAGGCUAAAUGGGUUGAACUUCAUGAUACCGCGAUUGCUGCUGCCGAGCGUGAGUCUACCUUUAUGGAACAAGUUAAUAACUUGGAGGCUAGCUUAUGCUCCAAAAUCGAGGAGGCCAAUGCUACCGAGGAGAAAAGAGAAAGAAUGUAAGAAAGGCUCAGAAGGGUCAUGGAGAAAAAAUCAACUUCAUUUGAGCACCAAUAUCGAGCUUGACUCUAAAAUCAACAGUAUUGAUGGUAGGUUAGAAACACGUGUUUUAGCCGCGUUUUACACUCUAAUUAUUGCACUUUACAUGUCUUUGAGCUUAAAUGAUAGUGAAUUACACUUAUUACAUGUUCUAUGCCUUGUAGGAAGUGGUUUCGAGUUAAAAAAGAUAAUUAUGAGCUAAAUCGAACAAUUUGGAGCUUUGAAGUAUGAGUAAAAGCCCAAGGAAUUAAUCUGGGAUCGCGUUCGGGGGUCGAGGACUGAGUCUGGAUAUAAAAAAAAUGAAGAAAAUAAUUUACUCUGGAAAAGUUACAUAGCUGCACUGCGUAGGGCAGUGCAUAGGGCAGCGCAGCAGUGUGUUUUGCUGCUGUCCGUCAGAAAUCGCUCUCUGAACUUCUCCACUGGCACACCGCAUAGGGAAUCGCACCGUGCAUCGCGCCUGUGCAAUUUUUAUAGAGUAUUUUUUUGUAUCAUCUUGGAAAGGGUAGUUUCAUCCGGACUCGCUUCGGCAUCGUAUAAAUACACAAAAAUAUAUUUUUAAAGGGACGUUUGACCUACGAAAGAUUGGAAGAGCAUUGGAGACAUAAAGCAUAAGGAUUCAUCAUUCUUUCUUCAACUCAACACCCGAGUUUAGAUUGAAUUCAUAUUUUCUUAUUAUUCAACUUUAUUUGUGAUGACUUUAUUCAUGAUUAUGGAGUAGUUUACCUUAGAGUUUGAUGGAUAUGAUGUUUGAUUGAUAUUUGUGGAUUUUAACUCUAGUUCUUUGCUUGAGUUCGUUUAUGGAGCUUUGAAUUGAUUGCAACUUUAUUCAGUUUAUUUAAUCGAAAGAGGAAUAUUUUGGUGAUUAUCUUUGCAUUAUUUGAUUUGGUUUAAUUCAGUUAUUCUUUUAAGUAAUCAAAAGAGCUUGUUGAAUUGUUGAUUAAAUCAAGUUAGGAGAAUAUUCAAGAGACGUUUUUGUAAUGAUCCGGCUUCUCGUUUCAUGAGUUAUCGCUCUGUUUCUCCCAUUUCUGCUUCUUUAUAUCUUGUUCAGCUGUAUUAUGUGGUAUUGGGGGUGGUUGGUUCGGGUACAGAAUGGUUUGGUAGAGAAAUGAGACACUUAGUCUCUUUUGAGUAAGCUUAAGUUGGAAAAGUCAACUGAAUGUUGACUUAUGUGAAAAAGGUCUCGGAUGUGAAUUCCGAUAGUUCGAAUAGCUUUGUUAGAUGAUUUGGGACUUAGGAGCGUGAUCGGAAUGUAUUUUAGAGGUCCGUGGAAGAUUUAGUCUUGAAUUGGUGAAAUUGGAAUUUUGGCGUUUUCCAGUUGGUAGUGGAGAUUUUGAUAUAGGGGUCGGAAUGAAAUUCCGAAAAUUGGAGUAGGUCCGUUUUAUCAUUUGUGACGUGUGUGCAAAAUUUCAGGUCAUUCGGACGAGGUUUGAUAGACUUUUUGAUCGAAAGCGAAAAUUGAAAGUUUUGGAAUUCAUAGGCUUGAAUUUGAGGGUGAUUUGGUGUUCCGACAUUGUUUUGAGUGUUCCGAGGAUUGGAAAAAGUUUGAAUAGUGUUAUGUGACUUGUUGGUGUGUUUGGUUGAGGUCCCGAGGCCCUUGGGAUGGAUUUGGAUGGUUGACUGAGAGUUUGGAUUUUUGGAGUUGUGUUGUAGAUUUUCUGCUUCUGUUAUUUCCGCACCUGCGGAUUGGGGACCGCAGGUGCGAUGCCGCAGAUGCGUAGAGGAGGUUGCAGAAGCAGAUUUGGGUCAGUUGGAGCUUGGCCACAGGUGCGGUGCAUUGGGCACAUCUGCGGGGCCAUAGGUGCUGUUCCUGGACGUAGAUGCGGCCCUGGGGGAUUAAUGAAGAACCGCAGAUGCGGUUGUCUUGACCGCAAAUGUGGUCUGUAGAAGCGUGAUUUGGGCCGCAGGUGCAGAAUCCCUAGGCCAGAACCUAUAUAAGGUUUCCUUCGCGAUUUUCAGCUUUGUUUCACCAUAUUUAAGUCAGAUUGAGAGCUUUUUGGGAGAUUUUGAAGAGGGGAUUCAAGGGAACUUCGUAGAGGUAAGAUUCUUGGAACUAAAACUCAUUUCUAUGGUGUUAUUUUACUGAUUAGACAUGGAGUUUAUGGAAAUUAGUGGUUAAAAUUGGGGGUUUAGGAUUUGAAAUUGGAGACCUUGAUUUAGGGAUUUAAGGGGUCAUUUGUGGUCGGAUUUUGAUGUAUUAUGUAUGAACUCGUGAGAUUAGAAGGAUUCUAGUUUUGUGAUUUUUAUCGGAAUUCGAUACGUGGGCUCAGGGGUCGGGUUUGGCCAAUUUCGGAAUUUUUUAUGUAAAUUGGUUAUUUUCGAGUGGGCUUUGUUCCCUUAGCAUAUUUUGAUGGUAUAAAUCUGAUUUUGGUUAGAUUUGGAGCAUUCGGAGGCCGAGUCGAGAGGCAAAGGCAUCGCGGGCUAGAGUUUGGACCGGAUUGAGGUAAGUAAUGAUUAUAAAUGUUGUCCUGAGGGUAUGAAACCCCGGAUUUCACAUCAUUAUGCUACUUUGAGGUGGCGUACACGCUAGAUGACGAGCGUGGGGUCGUGCACCGUUGAGGAUUGUGACUUUGUCCGUCCCGUACGACUGUUAAGUUGCAUAUUUGAUUAAACCCUAUUUGAUAUCAUUGUUUUUUGGAAAUUAUUAUCAUAUUUUAGGCGGAAUGCCAUAUUUGGGCUGAAUGCCAACUGUUUUGGACCCUUAGGGGCUUUUUACUGCUUUUCCUGACUGUUUUUACUUAAUAUCUGUACUCAGUCAUGUUGUAUUCUACUAUUUUUAUAACUCAGUCAUAUUUACUUCAUUUUGAUAUUUUAAGUGAUAUUUUGGGCUGAGUAUCAUGUUUUACUAUUGCCCGAGUGGCUUGAGAGAUUUCUAAGUGAGUAAGCCCGAGGACCUGUAUUGUGAGGAUAUCAUGGGAUCGGGCUGCGCGCCGCAACUUGUGUACUUAUUAUGAUAUAUGAGAGGUCGAGGGCUUGAUUUGUUAUUCCACGAGAUAACUUGUGAUAGCGUUUGGGCUGUAGGAGCCCCUCUGGAGUCUGAAUACUCCUAGUGAGUACGGGUACCUAGUGUGAGAUGUGAUAUUGCCCGAGGGGUUGUUAUUGUUUCAUGUUAUUGCCCGAGGGGCUGAUUACGAGUGAUUGUGAGGUAGCCGGAGGGGCUAGUUCUAUUGAUAUUUUGCCCGAGGGGUGGUUGUGGUACAUGUUUUGCCUGAGGGGCUAUUUACGUUUCUACCAUUUUACUCACUAUUUUCAUCACUCGUUUGAAACUAAUUAAAGUGUUUUAAAAUGUUUUACUGAACUGAGUUGUUUUUACGAGUUUUAUUGCUUUACUGCAUUGUUCUAGACUUAUACUGUUUUACUGUAGCGUUAUGAUAUGGUUUACGUGUUUUCUUAUUGCUCAGCUGCCUUAAAUUUUAUUACUUACUAAGUUGGCGUACUCACAUUACUCCCUGCACCUUGUGUAUAGAUCCAAGAGUCUCGAGGGGUGAUAGUGAGUGCUGAUCAGUCUUCCAGCAUGUCUCCAGAGUCGACUAGGUAGCCGCUUGGCGUUCGCAACCCAGUGUUUCUCCUUCCUACCUUAUUCAACUUUGUAUUAGCAUUUUGUUUUCAGACUAUGUUGUCCUUUCUUAUUCCUAGAUGAGUUGUAGUUGCUCAUGACUGC